UACGUAGGGGGCAAGCGUUGUCCGGAAUCAUUGGGCGUAAAGAGCGUGUAGGCGGCCCGAUAAGUCCGCUGUGAAAGUCCAGGGCUCAACCCUGGAAUGCCGGUGGAUACUGUCGGGCUCGAAUCCGGAAGAGGUGAGUGGAAUUCCUGGUGUAGCGGUGAAAUGCGCAGAUAUCAGGAGGAACGCCGGUGGCGAAGGCGGGUCUCUGGGCCGAUACUGACGCUGAGGAGCGAAAGCGUGGGGAGCGAACAGG
rnacentral:rRNA from 1 species